rnacentral:rRNA from 1 species
GAUGAACGCUGGCGGCGUGCCUAAUACAUGCAAGUCGAGCGAACAGACGAGGAGCUUGCUCCUCUGACGUUAGCGGCGGACGGGUGAGUAACACGUGGAUAACCUACCUAUAAGACUGGGAUAACUUCGGGAAACCGGAGCUAAUACCGGAUAAUAUAUUGAACCGCAUGGUUCAAUAGUGAAGGACGGUUUUGCUGUCACUUAUAGAUGGAUCCGCGCCGCAUUAGCUAGUUGGUAAGGUAACGGCUUACCAAGGCGACGAUGCGUAGCCGACCUGAGAGGGUGAUCGGCCACACUGGAACUGAGACACGGUCCAGACUCCUACGGGAGGCAGCAGUAGGGAAUCUUCCGCAAUGGGCGAAAGCCUGACGGAGCAACGCCGCGUGAGUGAUGAAGGUCUUCGGAUCGUAAAACUCUGUCAUUAGGGAAGAACAAAUGUGUAAGUAACUAUGCACGUCUUGACGGUACCUAAUCAGAAAGCCACGGCUAACUACGUG